GGGUCGAUUAUGUGGCUAUAUGUGGUAUGUAGAUGAAAUAUUAUAUAUGCACUAUGUUCCCGUCUCCCGCGUUAUAUUAUGUAUUUUAAUCCGCGUGUCUACGACCAUUGAUCUACAGACUGAAUUCAUCGUUUCCGGUUAUGCAGAAUUUAUGAAGCAGAGGUGUUUUAUAUUCAGACAACCUAUAGACGCAUUCUAUACAUUUGGAUUCGUUAAAUGGCUUCUAGCUUAGAAUUAUGAAUAUUUUAUUGGGCAAUGUAUUUCACUUGGAAUAGAUCAUCACCAUCGUCGGCAUGGCACAAGAGAAUGGCUGUUAAUUUUUCCAGAUUUUAAUAAUAUGAACAACAUUGAAAAAAACCUCAUAGACAGGGAAGACCCACCAUGCCGACCACUUGUGUGAAACUAACCAUGCCUAUGAAGGGUUAAAUCAAUGAAUAGCGAGGUAAGCAGUUUACUCAAAUAAAUUUUUAAUUAUGUGGAAUAAUAGUUUAACCCGUUUAUUAAUUUAUUUGAUGAAGAGGAGUAUUUUAUAAUAAAGGAGAGUAAUCUGUUGCUACUGGCCUGUUCGCCUGAGCAUAUUUCGUUACCACCAGCUUCAUCGCAAAUCAGCUAACAGUGUAUCAUUUUCUCAUGUUUAUAUGAACAUUUUCUGUAGGCGAUAAUCUUCACAACAUCCUAAUACAAAGGAUUCUGAUGCCUGAGGUUGACAUCGCUGAUGUCGACCAGCAGGAGAGUUAGUCGUCUUGAGGAUUCGAUUGGCAAAAGACGAUACAGCUUCCUUGGAAGUUCAACUGCGGAUACAGAUGUGUGCUUUUUUAUAUACGGACUCUUUUCUAUUGUGUAAAAUAUUCCUUAAGCAUUGCAUUCUAGAUAUUAUAAAUUUUAUAAAUAAGUUACUUGCUACAAAUCAGAAGUGGGAUACACUUUCGCUCACUUCGUGGGCAGUGCAAUGUGACAAAGACAGUGCUGAGUGUAGAGUUUCCACUAUAGUUAUCAGGAUUAUCAAUGAACGACCUACUCUUAAAAAUACGAAGAAGUAGACCCCGAGUACAUGGAGGCAUGAAGGCAGUGGAGAAAAUUGUGGAUCAUGAAACGAUGGCUCAAGACAGAUUAUCAUGUUCUCGGCAACCUUCCCCGAAGAAAUUCAAAAUCUUGCCGGAUGAUUUCUCGAGCCUGACUACGGUUUUAUCACGGUGGGUAUCAUCGGAGGAGCCAAUGAGGAUGUGGAACAACACUUCCGUGGAGUUAAUCGUAAACAGAACAAACCGCGGCUGGUUGAGAUUCUUGACAAGGGAAAUGAGAAUGGCACCCCAGCUGGCACUUUAUGGUUAUUUGUCGGAGAAUAAUUAUCCGACUAAGAACAUUCAUGGAGAUAGAUUGCAGAAUCAACGAGAGGAGACUCUCUGAGAUUUUAGAUUUCAAAAAAUGUAGUACGCCCGGUACACAUAAAACAAAUGCCUUAAUUAAUGCACCGGGUCUACUGAUAUAAAAAAAACUGCGAUCUUUUCUCGGACUUGUCAAUUACUUUAAAAAGUUUAUUAAAGGCUUUUCUAAAAUCAUUGCCCCUUUGACUGAAUUAUUGCGAAAAGAAGGUCAAUGAAAAUAGGGCCCUGAACAGGCAAAUACGGUUGGAGAACUUAAACGCUUUUUCACAAACAGACUGAUAGUAGCUCUUUAGAUCCUGCGCUUGAGACCGAACUAAACGUAGACGCAAGCGCGCUUGGCCUAGGAGCUAUGCUAUUGCAGAAAAAGAACGCCAUAGCUGUGACACUUAAGGAAUUCUGCGUAUAUCUUAUCGGAAUCAAGUUUUCUGUAGUUACUGAUUGCUGUACCAUACGCGUAACGGCUGUAAAAAGAUACAUUAAUCAUAGGUUAGGUAGAUGGUGGGAAUGCAUGCAAAACUUUGUUUUUUAUAUAGUUUAUCGACCUGGGUCCCAAGGAGCGGGCACAUGAAGAUUAUAUUAGUCGAAUUCCAGUCGAAUGCAUGCUUGUUGAUGUUACGGACUGCGAAUCUAUUAAAGUCGCACAAAUGCAAGAUCCGGUUCUAGAGGUCAUAUGUAAAAUCCUAGAGACUGGGGAAGUUCAACCAGAUAUGAAGCAAUAUUUUGAUAGGUAUGACUUGAGAGGUUGGGUGGUUUUCCGUAGAACAGAUACAGGAAACAAAUGGGUGGUACCUCGAGCGUCACGAUUUAUCAUCGUAAAGAUGUAUCAUGAUAAUAAAAACACUUUGCGGCUGAAAAGGCACUUGAGAAAAUCAAUGAAAAUUGCUGGUUCAAGGGUAUGAGAAAAUUUUUUGCCAAAUACGUUAAUUCUUGUUUAAACUGCCUGUACUCUAAAUCCACGUCGGGGCUUAAACCGGCCUGAUGCAUCCUAGAGAGAAAAUCCCAAUCCCCUUUCACACUGUACACUUAGAUCAUGUGGGUUCCUUUAUACGAAGCAAACGACAUAAUACCCACAUAUUGGCUUUAAUUGGUGGGUUUCGAAAUUCUGUUUCAUCGCGUCGGUGAAAGACACCAAAACUAAAUGGGUCAUCAAAACACUGCUGCAGGUGUUUGGAAUCUUUGGAGUAUGCACUCGAAUCAUCAGCGACAGAGGCACCAGCUUUACAACACAUAGUUUCAUUAAGUUCUGCCAAGAAUAUGGAAUAAAACAUAUUUUUAAUGCAGUAGCAACCCCAAGAGCGAAUGGGCAGGUUGAACAACUGAAUUAUACCAUUCUUAAUUCGCUAGCAAGUAGUGCUGGUGCACCAAAAGAAGGCUGGGACGUUUAGGUGAAGAAGGUGCUGAGUCGCAUAAAUUUCACCACGAAUAGGACCACCCAAAAGAGUCCCGCUCAACUUUUGUACCGGCACCAGAUUCGAAGCUCAGCAGAUAAUGCUUUGCUCUGAGAAAUUCAAGAGACGUUGGACCAGAUUGUCUUGAAGGUGAUGCGGAAGGAGACAAGACGAGUUAACCGGCACGACAGAAGUCUCGCUUUGACAGUAAGAGGUUCAAACCAUCGCAAUACUCCGUUGGGUACAUUGUUCUGGUGGUAUCCCGACUAGCAGCCACUAGUCAAAGCUUGAAUGAGCUCAAGAGAGGUCGAACUGAAAGGACUGUGGUGGAGAUAGACAGCAUGCGCAAAUGGAUCACCUUCAAUGCGCGAGAAUAAAACCAGGUAAAAUAAUCCUUGAAAAUAUUUGUUGUUGCUAAUUUACAGGUUAAAGCUGUGCCAGCCUAUCUGAAUGAAUUACAGGUACGUGCGGACGUUUUGGAGUUCACAAAGUACUUGAACAGUUGUAACUUAAGGGAAUGGUAGUCUGCCGGCGUUCAUUUCAAACUCGAAGGAGCAGCCUAGGCCAACUGGACCUGUUCUCAGACCAGCUGAGGUUAUGAGAUAAACAGAACGAGUCAAAAAUGCAUUAGCACGGCCUUUGGUCAAGGUCUUGUGGAUAUAGGUUUGUUGGCAAAUUUCAGGACCAUAUGCAGGGCCGAGUUGAUUUAGCUUUUACGAGCCUACUUGUCAUAGGCACGUUAAGAAAAGCUUUAUCCGCAAAGGCUGGACCAAGAGCCAAGUCUGUUUAGUUCUUGCAUGUCCAUUGGUCACCAGGUGGAGGGGAACUCUGCUGGCAAAGGCUGGACCAGUGUCAAGUCAGUUCAGCGCUGACAAAUCUACUGGCCAUAGAUAUGUGGAGAGGAGCUUCGCUGGUGAAGACUAGACCCAAAGUAGUCAAAGUCAGAUCCCUUUCAGGCCGAGAUGUCUCAGUCGCUCACUCGGUUCUGGUAGUUUCUGGCGAGGCUGGCAACAUUUUUUUUGUUUCUUUAGAAAGCAUGGAAAGGGUCAAAAGCCAAGAUAUGCCAUGGUAUUCUGAUAAGAGACUUGAACAAUUUUCCACGCAAUUGACAGGAGCCUUUCCAUUUUUUGCAGGUACAUAGUCAGAGUUUCACAGAUGAAACGAGCCGUGGGCAAAUCGAUGGUCAGAAUGAACGAUCAAAGAGGAGUAUUUUAUAAUAAAGGAGAUUAAUCUGUUGCUUCCCGCCUGUUUGCCUGAGAUUAUUUCGUUACCGCCAGCUUUACAGCGAAUAAGCUAACAGUGUAGCCAUUCCUAAUGUUUAUAUAAACAUUUACCUGGAGGCGAUAAUCUUCACACCAUCCUUAAUAUAAAGGAUUCUGAUGCGUGAGUUCAACAUCACCGAUGUCGACCAGUAGGGGAGCUAGUCUUGAUAAAUAGUCUUGAGGACACGAUUGGCAAAAGACGAUACAGCUUCUUUGAAACUUCACCUGCGGAUACAGUUGUGUGUUUUUAAAUACGGGCUAUUUUAUAUUGUGCAGAAUAUUCCUUAAAGACCGUACUCUAGAUAUUAUAUAUUUUAUAAAU